rnacentral:rRNA from 1 species
ACGGAGGGUGCGAGCGUUGUCCGGAAUCACUGGGCGUAAAGGGCGCGUAGGUGGCCUGUGGAAGUCUGCGGUGAAAGCCCGGCGCUCAACGCCGGGUCGGCCGUGGAUACUCUCGGGCUCGAGCUUACUAGAGGCAGAUGGAAUUCCCGGUGUAGCGGUGGAAUGCGUAGAGAUCGGGAAGAACAUCAGUGGCGAAGGCGGCCUGCUGGGCUGUUGCUGACGCUGAGGCGCGACGGCGUGGGGAGCAAACAGGA